GAUCCUGGCUCAGAUUGAACGCUGGCGGCAUGCCUUACACAUGCAAGUCGAACGGCAGCGCGGGAGCUUGCUCCUGGCGGCGAGUGGCGAACGGGUGAGUAAUACAUCGGAACGUGUCCGUUUGUGGGGGACAACCAGCCGAAAGGUUGGCUAAUACCGCAUAAGACCUGAGGGUGAAAGCCGGGGACCGCAAGGCCUGGCGCAGACGGAGCGGCCGAUGAUUGAUUAGCUUGUUGGCGGGGUAAAGG
rnacentral:rRNA from 1 species